rnacentral:tRNA from 1 species
GGAGAGGUGGCUGAGUGGUCGAAAGCGGUGGAUUGCUAAUCCAUUGUACGUAAUUUACUCGUACCGAGGGUUCGAAUCCCUCUCUCUCCG